CAUGGUGGCAACAUGCCAGUCAUCCCAAGACUUGGGAGAUGGAAGCAGGAAGAUAAGAAGCUCAAGGGCAGCCUCAGCUACGUGGCAAAUUCAAGUCCAACCUGGGCUCCAUAAAAUCCUGUCUCAAAAAUUUCCACCAACCAGGGACCAAGAAUUCAAAUAGAUGAACCUAUAGAGGUCAUUCUCAUUCAAACUAUCCCCAGUCACGUGAAGAAAUGGAGACUUCAAUUUAAACAGUAGUUUCAGAACUAUCCUAAAAUCUGUGGAGCCAUGUUCUUCACACCUUGAUUCUACUGACAUACACAACUGUCGAGCACAACUGUCAUCAGAGAGGCUUCACCCAGCAACUGAUGGAAACUGAUGCCAAGACCCACAGCCAAACAUUAAGUGAAGCUGGCAGAAUCCUGUGGCAGAGGGGGAUGAAGGAUUGGAGUCAAGGGCACUUCAAGAAAACCUACAGAAUGAACUAAUCUGGACCCAUAGGGCCUCACAGAUCCUGAACUGUCAACUAGAGAGCAUUCGUGGGACACACCUAGGCCCUCUGCACAUAUGAAACAGUUGUGCAACUGUGUCUCCAUAUGGGACUCCCAAAGCAGGAGCAGGGGCUUGGGAUCCCUUUCCCCUAACUGGGUUGCCAUGUCUAGACUCAGCAGAAGAAAAUGUGCCUAAUCUUGCUUCAACUUGAUAUGUCAAGAUUGGUUGAUAUCCAUGGGAGGCCUCUCCUUUUCUGAGGAGAGGGGGAGGAGGGAUUUGUGGGGACAGGAAGGGAGGGACUGGGAGGAGAGGAGGGAGGAAAAGCUAUGAUCAGGGUAUAAAGCAAAUAACUUAAUAAAAAA